UCUGCCUUUUGCUUUAUCUAUAUAGAUUAUCAUAUUAUCCUCAUUUAAUUAAUAAUUUCAAUUCUUAAUGUUUGAAUUAACCAAGGAUAUUUUUUGGUAUUUUAAAUGUUUCAUCAUUCUCUGCCUUUUGCUUUAUAUAUAUAGAUGAAAGAAAAGGUAAAAGAGUGUUUUAAUUCACAAAAAAGUUGUGCUUAAUCAUACCAUUUUUUAUUAUAAUUUUCUCGAAUAUUUCACUCAAAGAACAUGUGCUAUGGCAACACGAUAUUUUGUUAUUUAUUCUUUUCAAUUUGUUUUUAGUUUUUUUUAUUGGCUGCAUUUGAUUGUUUUGCCCUAUUUAUAUGGGAUAUUUUUGUUUUGGUGUUUUUAUUUAUUAACAAAGCGUAUUUUUGGGAUUUUUGAAUAUUUUACCAUUCUCUAUCUUUUGUUUUAUAUAUAUACUAGCCUCUCUGCAAGUGCUUCUGCGUCUGCGGGAGGCUUUUUUUAAAAAAAUUUAAAUUUAUUUUAGAAUUAAAAAAAGAUAAUUGGUAGUUGUGUUCCAUAAAAAUAGGAUCCAUUAUCUGAUUUUUCUUUUAAUUUUAAUUUUUUUUAAUAUGAAAAAGUGUGAAUUUACCAUAUUAUCCUCAUUUAAUUAAUAAUUUCAAUUCUUAAUGUUUGCAUUAACCAAGGGCAUUUUCUUUUUUUUAUAAAUAUUUUAUCAUUCUCUUCAUUUUACUUUAUAUAUACUAGCCCCUUGGCAGAGCAUGUGCCAAUUAGUUUCAUUUUUUAUUUUUUAUUUUAUUUUAAGAAUUAAGAAAAGAUAACAUGGGUAGUUAUGUUCCAUAAAAGUAAGAUCUAUUGUAACAACUCGAUCCUAAAUUAAUAUUUAAUUAUUAAUUUAUUCAAAUAAAAGAUAAUUUUACCCCCGAGAAUAUUUUAAUGGUUUAAAAGUUGACAGGGUUCGGCUCAGAUUUUAAGGUGGAAUUUGGGUCGGGUCCUGUCAUCUAUUAUAUGAUUUUGUUUUUAAUUUUAAUUUUUUUAAUAUAAAAAAAUGAAUUUACCAUAUUAUCCUCAUUUAAUUAAUAAUUUUAAUUUUUAAUGUUUGAAUUAACCAAGGGCAUUUUUUGGUAUUUUGAAUGUUUCACCAUUCUCAGCCUUUUACUUUAUAUAUACAUAUAAUAUAUAUAUAUAAUAAAUAAUGUAUAGAAUAAAAAUGGAUUUUAUGUUAACGAUAUCUAUCUCUUUAACAAGGUAUAGAUAUGAAGUUCCGUU
rnacentral:lncRNA from 1 species